CUCUUAUCCAGAGAGGCGGAGGGACUGGCCCUUUGAUGCCCGGCAACCGGCAAGCUAAGACUUGGCAAGGUGCCAAUUCCUGCAAGGGGUAAUCCUUGUGAAGAUGAGAG
rnacentral:ncRNA from 2 species